rnacentral:rRNA from 1 species
GAAAACCUCACGGGGAUAAGACAAACGUAGGAUUGACAGAUUGAUCGCUCUUUCUUGAUUGUUUGGGUGGUGGUGCAUGGCCGUUCUUAGUUCGUGGAUUAAUUUGUCUGGUUAAUUCCGUUAACGAACGAGACCUUAACUUGCUAAUUGGGCUACAAUAUUAAUACUGUAUCCUAUUAGAAGGACCAUGUGUGUCUAACACAAGGAAGCGUGAGGCAAUAA